rnacentral:rRNA from 1 species
AUACGGAGGAUGCGAGCGUUAUCCGGAUUUAUUGGGUUUAAAGGGUGCGUAGGCUGUGCAUUAAGUCAGGGGUGAAAUGCCGUCGCUCAACGACGGAGCUGCCCUUGAUACUGGCGUGCUGGAGUACGGAUGCCGUUGGAGGAAUGAGUGGUGUAGCGGUGAAAUGCUUAGAUAUCACUCAGAACACCGAUUGCGAAGGCAUCUGACGAAUCCGUCACGAACGCUGAGCCAUGAAAGCGUGAGGAUAGAACAGUAUUAGAUACCCUGGUAUUCCUCGCCGUAAACGAUGAUGACUAAGCGUCGGCGAUAGUCAGCCGGGGGCCAAGCGAAAGCGAUAAGGCAUCAACCGGGGGAGUACGUCGGCAACGAGGAGACGCAGUGGAAGUGACGGGG